GAGGGCGCGGGCGAAAUAUGCGCAGGUCAAGGAGCGCCAGGCGACCGCGCACGAUGUGGAGAUUCUCGGCCAGGUCCUGGAACAGCUGGACGACCUGGAGAGAAAUUUCCAGAAAAGGCAGGAGCUGAUGUUGAAUGAGGUGGAGAGCACACUCAACAGGCUGCUCGGGACAGAGAAGUCUGGAGGGCCAGUGGACCUGGAGGAGGAGAAGAGGAGCAAAGAGGACAUGAAUAGCAAACCCAAGAAGAAGGGUCUGAAGAGGUUCUUCAAGUCCCUUUGCUGCCUCAACUAGAGAUCACCAUCACUGUACUACGGGCUGCGGGUACAAGGCCGACUCCUCCAUACCAUGUUGAAGUGUCCCUAGAGUGCUCCCGAUGUGCAGAUUGGCGCCUUACAUGGCAGCCUCUGCCAUCGGUCCCCUAGAGCAAGACACUGAACCCUAAAGGGCUCCGGAUGAGCAGAUUGGCGCUUUACUGUAUAUGGCAGCCUCUGCCGUCAGCCUUUUUGAGCAAGACACUGAACCCUAAAGUGCUCCCGAUGCACAGAUUGGCGCCCUACAUGGCAGCCUCUGCCAUUGGUCUUCUUGAGCAAGCUAAAGUGUUUUGCAAAUGCAGUCCAUUUCACUUCAUUUCAUGUAGUACAGUGUAAUUACU